CAGCAGCCGCGGGAAUACGGAAGGUCCAGGCGUUAUCCGGAUUUAUUGGGUUUAAAGGGAGCGUAGGCUGGAGAUUAAGUGUGUUGUGAAAUGUAGACGCUCAACGUCUGACUUGCAGCGCAUACUGGUUUCCUUGAGUACGCACAACGUUGGCGGAAUUCGUCGUGUAGCGGUGAAAUGCUUAGAUAUGACGAAGAACUCCGAUUGCGAAGGCAGCUGACGGGAGCGCAACUGACGCUUAAGCUCGAAGGUGCGGGUAUCAAACAGGAUUAGAUACCCCCGUAGUCCCUGUCUCUUAUAA
rnacentral:rRNA from 1 species